GACUCACCGACCGUUCGUUCUCCUGCUGUUCCUCUUCAUCUCCGCGGGGCGAGGCACCAGGGGAGAGAGGCGAUUCGGGAGGGGGGAGAAUCAGGAGUCGCGGCGACGACGAACGGCCGGCGAAUCGUGGGUCCCCUCGAGGUCAGCGGCGAGGCUCUCCGCGAGCACGGCUUCCUAUCGAGGUGGCAGAGUAUUUCCUGCCGGGACCGCUCGGCGGGACGAAGGCCUCAUUCCUCUUCUCUUUUUUUACAUAACAUUCCGAUUUGGUUGCUUGGAUGUGAAACCCCUAAGUGGUAUUUUGUUCCUGCUUGACCCCAUCAUGUAGUUUUUUUGUUCUGCUUUUUCCUGUGUGCAUUCGUUGGACCAUGUGAUCGAUGGAGCAUGAUUUGUAACUCGUGAUUUCUGUGAUUAGGUUUCGAAUCUGAAUAUUUUAGCUUGCAGCGUGUCUGCCUACGCAGUUGGUUCAGAUUUGUAGUAACGCGUGUUAAUUUUGCAUAGGCAUUGGGAUUUGAUUGAUUAAUCUCCACUUAUCCUUCUCAUUUUCAUUCGUUAUUGCAACUAUCUCGAGUGCAAUCUCUGCCGGGUCCACAAUUUCAAAAAAAAAAACUAUCUCGAGUGCAAGAUAUGUCUCCUUGAUUGAUUCGUCGUGCAGUUUGCGGGGACAGCAAAUUCAACAUGCAAUAUCCAUGUGUUUAGCUAUAUGCUCUGUUAAUCUGAAACUUCGAAUUAUUCAAUGUUGUAGUGGUUUAGUUUGUGUGGACAGCAAAUUGGUCAUGUGGAAUGGGUGUGUUUAUGUUUGUUGUAUUCCUUUUUGGACUCUUGUGGGUGAGCUAAUCCAUCAAACAGACUGAAUGUUCUAUAUUUGCUUACGCACAUUCAAACUUAGUUGUUACAGCAGCUUGUUUGAAUUAGCCUAUGGCCUUUGGUUGUAUAUAUACUCGGAUCUGGACAGCUUUGCAGCAUCAUAGUUACUUUCUGUGGCACACCAUGUUGGCAUUUUCUUAUUUCUAUAAGAGUCCAAUGGUCUUAACAACUAUGGAUGUUUUUGCGUGUGUGUGAGGGAGGGAGAUUGCAUUUCUUUGAUUUAGCAUAGCGCCUAACUGCAUAUCACAAAAGUCUAAGCUAUCUUUAGCUCCAUCUUUCUAGAAUUGUAUCAUCAAUUAUUUCUCUGUUAUGCCAACAUUUUUUUCCUGCAUGUACCAUUUUUUAACUGUGCAUUAUAGCUAAGAAAGCUUCCUGAUAUAUGCAUGUUUUUUUAUUUCAAACUGGAACAUCAAAGUUGCUUUCCCAAAGCAGCAUGUGUAUGAGGCUUGAUUAGUUAAAAAUCCCAUUAAAUAUAUACAUAGUAGAGAUCAAUUUCUUAGAAACCCACUACAUUUUCUACAUAGUGUAAAUUAUUUAGAAUAAACUGUAACAUUCAGUCUUUUUUUUUGUGAUGAGCUCAUACCUGUAGAAAUCCAUCCUUUUUUAGAGUCUACAUGAUGCUCUUUAACUCACAUAAUUAAAAUAGCUCAGUAUCUUUUUUACAGUGAUAGUUAAGUUUACUAUUCCUCAUCUGCAGUUCUUUAACCAAGAUAAUUUAUAUAUUUUUGUAGGAAUAUAUGUUUCAGUGACAACAUUUCCAUCAUUAACUGCAGUGUUAGGACAAUGUUUUUAGAAUGUGUUAUUUUGCAUUGGAUGGAUGUUCUUCAGAUAGAUAUCAUUCCCACUAUAUAUAACCGCUGGACUCGAUUAGUUUCCAUGGCAUGCUCAUAUUUAUGUCUUAUGGAUCAUAUUUUUGGCAAGCUGCUUGUUGUUACCAUGGGUGUCAUGGAGCUUGCUUUGGUUGCCGCUACACAAUCUGGAGGCCACUUUGCUAUUUGGUUUGAAUUAAUAUAUAUAUCAUAUAUUGUAGUUUUAAAUUUUUUAGUGUAAUUUUUUCUUGAUUACACAAAAUGUAAAUCUUUAAGUACAAGGAAGAUUUAUUUGUAUAUCUUAACUAUUUUUUAAAGUAGUUCACUAAAUACUCCUGUUUUUACAGAGCAUUUGUCACACCUUACCACUACUGACACCAGGAAAGCAUGUGUCACCAAGCUGCAACACUAAAGAUACAACAUAAAAUGCUUGAAUGCUUAGUUUUUCUAACAUCUCUCCCUCUCUCUAAACUUUCUUUUUAACCCCCUAAAUACUCCUGUUUUUAGAUUAGCGAAAGUACUUACUACGCACACUUGAUUUAUAAAACUUAGUUCAAUAAGACACUACAGUACGUGAAGUUUCUAUUAUUAGAUGUACAUGUAUGUUCCUUUCUUUACAUGUUGUUUUGCUGAGUAUUAUCACUUAAAUUUUCUCUGACAAUCCUUUCUUCAGCACCUUGUCCAAGUAACCAUUUGAAAGUUGCUUGAGGCAAAGAUGGGUGCAGCAGGGCGUUCUUCCAAGCUCGUUAGCUCCGUCCAUGGCUUCAUUGUCAAGGACAGAAGGCGAAAAUGAUGUGGAGCUUGGUAGAUACUGGGGUAAGGUUCUGCUUAUCAUGAAAACAUGAAUGUGGCUUCCUGAUGGCUAGGUUUUCAUAAUUUCAUCUAGAUGAUUCAACGUGUUUUCCCUUCUUUUUGUGUGUUUUUCUACCUGAUUUUUUAUACCCUUACAAAGAUGUGACAAAUUCCAACCAUACUGAGUUGGGAUCAAUCCAUAAGAAUUAUGGGGACUAAGCUACAUUGCAUAUCUCCAUUGCAUACUUGCAUGUGUUUUUCUA